rnacentral:lncRNA from 1 species
ACCAACGGCACCCAACCACAGUUAACCCGUCAGCAACCUCGAAAAUAUCCGAGCUUCUCUUAGAUUGCUGAGAUGGAGAGCUAUUUUGCUCCACCAGACAUCCCAGCCGAGCUUCAGCCAUCCGGUCCGAACUCUCUGGCAAGUCGUGACAACGGACACCACUCCACUCUCUGUAAUAGACUCCACAUGGCCUCGUCAGUCUCUGACAAGUCGCAACAAUGGACAUCACUCCACUCUCUAUAAUAGACUCCACGUGGUCUC